rnacentral:rRNA from 1 species
CCCUUAGAUGUUCUGGGCCGUACGCGUGCUACACUGAGUGGAUCAGCGGGUCAGGUUGCGCGAAAGUGUUUCCUAAUCUUGAAAUCCGCUCGUGAUGGGGAUUGACGGUUGCAAUUUUCCGUCAUGAACGAGGAAUACCUUGUAAGCGCGGGUCAUCAUCCCGCGCUGAAUACGUCCCUGCCCUUUGUACACACCGCCCGUCGCUCCUACCGAUUGAGUGGUCCGGUGAGGCUUUGGGAUCUGAGCGGAAAGAGCGUUUCGCUGUUUCUGCUCGGAAAACUCAGUCGAACCUUAUCAUUUAGAGGAAGGAGAAGUCGUAACA